GAUGAACGCUGGCGGCGUGCCUAACACAUGCAAGUCGAGCGAACAGACGAGGAGCUUGCUCCUCUGACGUUAGCGGCGGACGGGUGAGUAACACGUGGAUAACCUACCUAUAAGACUGGGAUCACUUCGGGAAUCCGGAGCUAAUACCGGAUAAUAUAUUGAACCGUAUGGUUCAAUAGUGAAAGUCGGUUUUUCUGUCUCUUCUAGAUGGAUCCGCGCCGCAUUAGCUAGUUGGUACGUUAACGGCUUUCCAAGGCAACCAUGCGUAGACGACCUGAGAGAGUGAUAGGCCGCACUAGAAGGGAAACACGGUCCAGACUCCUGCGAGAGGCACCAGUAGGGAAUCUUCCGCAGUAGGCGAGAACAUGGCGGAGCGACGCCGCGUGAGUGAUGAAAGUCUUCGGAUCGUGAAACUCUGUUUCUAGGGAAGAACAGAUGUGUAAGGAACUGUGCACUUCGUGACGGUACCUAGUCAGAAAGCAACGGCUAACUACGUG
rnacentral:rRNA from 1 species